CACUCAGUAGGUAACUUCUUACCUGCAACCCUCUUUUGAGGGCUGUGAGACAUGAUGACCCUGGGGUAUGAUCUUCCGUGAAUUACACCCCACAGGGGCUCAGGGACCAACGACACCCUGGGUCACCUAGGUCUGAU